rnacentral:rRNA from 1 species
AUACGUAGGGGGCGAGCGUUGUCCGGAAUUACUGGGCGUAAAGGGUGCGCAGGCGGACAUUUAAGUGAGAUGUGAAAGACCCGGGCUUAACUUGGGCAGGGCAUUUCAAACUGGGUGUCUUGAGUGCAGGAGAGGAGAACGGAAUUCCUAGUGUAGCGGUGAAAUGCGUAGAGAUUAGGAAGAACACCAGUGGCGAAGGCGGUUCUCUGGACUGUAACUGACGCUGAGGCACGAAAGCGUGGGUAGCAAACAGGAUUAGAUACCCUGGUAGUCCACGCCGUAAACGAUGAGUACUAGGUGUAGGAGGUAUCGACCCCUUCUGUGCCGCAGUAAACACAAUAAGUACUCCGCCUGGGGAGUACGGCCGCAAGGCUGAA